CUAACCUGCUAAAUAGUACGGUUGCAAUCUUUAUGCGGAUUAUCGUGCUGAUGCUUCGGUAUUGGUGCGGUGCCGCAUAGGCAGGUGAAACUUCUUAGAGGAACUGGCGUUCGAAAAGGCGCACGAGAAAGAGCAAUAACAGGUCUGUGAUGCCCUAAGAUGUCCGGGGCCGCACGCGUGCUACAAUGACGAUGUCUAUGAGCAUGAUUAACUUGUCUGUAAAGGCUGGUGAAACUGUUCAAUCAUCGUCGUGCCUGGGAUUGGGGUUUGCAAUUGUUCCCCAUGAACCAGGAAUUCCUAGUAAGCACAAGUCACUAGCUUGUGCUGAUUACGUCCCUGCCCUUUGUACACACCGCCCGUCGCUACUACCGAUUGAAUGGUUUAGCAAGGCCAUUGGAUUGAAUGCUUGCGGUUUGCGCUGCUUGUGUUCGAGAAGAUGGCCGAACUUGAUCAUUUAGAGGAAGUAAAAGUCGUAACAAGGUUUCCGUAGGUGAACCUGCGGAAGGAUCAUUAAACAAAUUCUUAUGUACCACAGUGUUGUGGCACUCACAAGGUGUCCUCGCUGUUCGACCUGAUGGUAUUGCCUGUUGGGUCGUCUGGGAUACAGAAGCAGACUUUGCGGUUGCUGUGUGUAACACUCUUACGCGCGGUGGCUAUGCACUGUUUGCCGUUGGUCACUGAUCAGGUGUUGUCGGCAUGUUGGAUGCGCACUACAGCGGUGAGUGGUGUGUGUCUGGCGUGUUGGCUCGUUGUGUAUAAGCCUGCAGUGAUCGAUAUCAUCGCAAGUUUGUGUUCUUAUUAUAUCCAAAGCUAACGGUGCUUACAGUGGUGAAGCUGUACAGUAGCGGGUGCUUGCUUGGUUGCUUCGCGUGCUAGUGGAUGCGGCUCAAUUGGUCUCCGUUGUAUGGAUUCUGCCCUAUAGCUGGCAGAGCUCCGUCCGGGGAUCUUUUGACUGCUGAUGCUUGCGCAGUGAUGAUGACUUGGUGCCCGUCUACUGUUGCGGUGGAGCUUUGUAGCACUAGUGUUGACCUUGUGCGGGGGCUGUGAAGUAGCUGUUGGUGAGCUAACACUCAUCAUUGGUGAAAAGAUGGCUACGCAGAACGGUUGAUACAUGACACGGUUGCGAUGCUCACGCAUUGCUUCAAUGUCAACCUUCACAACUGCAAGUGGUGGAUCACUCGGCUCAUGUG
rnacentral:rRNA from 1 species